rfam:Jatropha curcas cultivar GZQX0401 scaffold119_53, whole genome shotgun sequence.
UAAAAGGGUCGGUUGGCUAAAUGUGCCACACUCACCCUCGUUCGGUGGGUGCCGUAUGGCUAUCAAGACAUAUGGCCGACAUAAUUUGUGGAAACUGGUUAGGGUUGGCUCGCAUGGCCGACCCUCCAA